AACCGGUAGGGGUUCAGAGGUUCUACGGAAUUUUCUGAACCUCUAUGACGAACAGCAAGAGCAAGAUGCCGAUGUCAAGCGUACUCUGGUCCUGCACGGGCUUCCAAUAUAUCUACGCGAGGAGGACCCACAAUUCCUCAAAGUUUGGAAUAUUGAAGAGUCACCAGAGCCAGACAUCAGUAGCGCCUCUGUUGCCAUUCUGACAACUGUCAAUGAGAACAGUUU